CCUGCAGACCUUCUACCUCCGACUAAAACAAACUCAGGCCGACUUUUUCUAUCUUUUCAUUAAUAGUUAUUAGUGGACUCCUUCAAAAAGCAGCUGAAAACUGUUCAACCUGGCUUUUGCUCGACCUUCAAGUGACAUAUGUAGAUUUUAACUUUGACUUUGUAGAGAUAUGGGUCUCUGUGAGUUUGCUUCUGCUGGGAAGUUUAUAUUUUGCGUCAAUAACCCUCACCAACAGCUGAAAAUCAUGAGUCUCCACUAAGGGCAGAGGCUGGAGGUCCUUCACUACCAUCUUGUGAGUGUUAAUGCUAAAUACACAAGGAACAUAAAACGAUGGAGGCGCAUGUUAUUAAAUGCUCCAUCUUUCAUAGAUGAACAUUGAGGAGAAAGGUAAUGAGAGUUUACGCACCUGUUUUAUAUCGAAUGCUUCGACUUGAAUUAAAAUUGCCAACACAUUAUAUUAUUAAAUACAUUUGUUUUUAUCUACAUUGUAAAAUGUUCAGUUAACCACCAGUCAAAAUAUGUCAGCUAACUGAGAAUAAAACAAUGCAAGUUUGUGAAAUUAGUUAUUUAAAUGGAAAAACGUAAUUGAUCUGUCGAAUUAAUGGAAUAUUUUCUACAUUUUUGAAGUCAAUCAUUAUUUUUUUAAAUACUGUACAUUUACAUAAUAAUUAUUUAACAAACUUUACAAAUUAAUUGGUAUGAUAUGGAAUGGUAUCUACUGUCACCUGACUAAAUAUAGGCUUAUUCAAUGUUUGGGAUUUCAGGGGCUGAUGAUACUUAAGCUCAAAUUCAUAUAGGCAAACACACACACUCUCAACUUUCUCCUUCAUUAACUGAAUUGUAAUUUUUCAACUGAAGGCCAGUUGCAGAAAACAGAAAGCUGCUGAGCUGAAGCAAGAUGACAUCUUGUUGCAAAUGAAAGACAAAGAUUGUGUCUUUGGAGGCGAGAUCAUCCAGAAGCUGUCAGUACACCAGCUUCUGGAGCAGAUAUACAUUUGGAAAAUGAGCCCAACUCUGGCAUCCGCUACAAGAUGUUCAGUGGGAGGAUCCUCCACCAGAGGGUAAUUGUGAGGCAAGAGGAGCUGAGAGGGAACCAGCUAAACUACAGAGGAAAUGUGGAGACACGAACCGAAGCUUAACCAAGGAGCAUUUCUUUAGACGUGUUUCUGCUGCGACUGAGGCCUGUGAUGCUGGAAGGCUGAAGAUUAUCCCGGAGUGGAGCGUGCUAAAUGGUUUCCUUGAAGUAAUAAACUUUCCGAAUCUGACGCCAUGGCAGCCUUGUGAAUGCCAACAACAAACCCCCACGAAGGAAUGCAGACAGAUGCUGUGAAAACCCGACCUACCCCCCCGCCCCGCCUUCGGAUUGGUGGACUUCAGCCUGGCGAGGUCAUCAACCUGCAGGUGUCAAUGUGCUCUGCGCUCCUCCCAAGAUCUCCCUCCCACCUGUGGCUACAGUGGCUGAGCGCCAUGGGGAUGCUCUCGCUGGGGAAGCAGGAUGCCAGCCCCCCCCUCGGUGUCUCAUGUUGUGAAUUGUUGAUGUUUGUGCUUAUAUGUUCGAGGCGUUUUUUUUUUUUUUGCAUAGUAAAGCUACGCCCUGCCGGGAGUAACUCUGGUAUGCCUUUUGUUUCCCUCCCCCAAUUUAUCCUCUUGUAAUCCCAUUUUCAUCUUAUUAACGGUAGCGCGACUCUUGUUGCGAAUGACCACAGCACCAAUUCUUCUGUACUGAAACAAUUGCCCCUCGGGGAUGAUUAAAGUUUUUUUUUGAUUGAAUUGAAUCCAGUAA